CCUGUUCUUCUGCCCUUUCCCCUCCGCGCGGGAGAUGCCGCCUCCUCUGCUCACCUCGCCCGCGCCUUUCCCCGCAGCAGUCGUCGCCCUUUUUCUCCCCUGCGCCGCCGCGGCCUUGCCAUGGCCUUGCCAUGUACACGCCCGGCGUGCCCACCCUUGCGCACCGGCCGAGUUCGUGGCCCUCGCCCGCACGCGGCUCCGCCGCCUCCACAGCUGCGUCACGCCGAGCCGCCGCUCCUGGCGUCCUGAACCUCGCGGCGCACCCACGCGCCUUGCACAGCCUCGCCGCACCACGACGUCGCGCACACGCGCGUGCUCGGCCUUGCAUGGCCAUCGCCCUGCCCUCGCCGACCCCGCCCCGCGGUUCUGGUUGUCCAGACCGCCGCGGACACGCACACCCGAACCACGCCGUCUUGAGCCGUCGCCCCUCCUUGUCUCGCCAUGGCCCAAGCCUUGCCUAGCCUGCCGCUGUCGAACCCGAGCCGCCUUGGUCUUGCCGCCGUUGGAUCUCGCCGCGCCGCAAGCUCGGUUUCCCCAGCGCCUGCGCGCGUGACAUAGCCCGAGCAAGCCCUGGGCGCUACUUUUGGCCGCCACGGCGAGCUUUGCCUCGCCGCCGCGGGCCCUGAGCGCCGGAUCCCCGCGCGCGUUGCCUCGCCGUGCCCUGCUCUGCCCGCCGCCUAGCCAGCGCCGCUCGCUGUUGAGGCCUAAAGGCCAUGCCCUAGGCCUGGCCCGCGUGCGCCACCGCUUCACCCCCGCCGUCGCCACCAGACCCCGUCAGCGCCGCCGCCCGCCUUGCGCAGCGCCCGCACACGCGCACAGCUGGUACACACCGGGCACAGCCACACGGGAUCGCCUCAGCCACACCGGAUCCCAUCACCCAUGACAUGUGGGGCCGCACUGUCAGAGAGAGGAACAGAAACCGCCCGCAGGCCUGGCUUGUCCGUGGAAAGAGGAAGGAGAAGAAAAGAAGAAGGGAAAAGAAGAGAAGUGGGCCGCCAGUGUCCCUGGUGUUUUUCUAUAUCUGUCUGUCCUAUUACUGUUAAUAUCUUACCUCACUGACUUUGGGAUGCAAUCUACUAUGCACAUCCUUUUAUUUGCUUACUCCAUAUUCUACAGUCUCAUUUUUAAAAUUCAGUCACUGUAUAUGCUGCUGGUGUUUAACAUAAAUGUGGGAUGCAAUCUGCUAUGCAUGUUGAAGUGGCGUCUGGAGUGACGGCCAAUGAUUUGUAUGAACACCGUAUGUCUACUUAUAAGAUGUGUCACUAUGUCUAUUAACAAUCAAGGUGAACUGUUCUGUUUAGCCCUGUAUCACCAACCAAGGUUGCAUCAGGUGGAAUAAUGGAUGCAAAAGACUGAUUAUCCACUCCUGUCCUAAGAUCUCAUCAAGGCUUCUUUAGUAAAGUCUGCAACACACAUCUAUACAUUGAGAGAAGUUACAGUCAUGGUGUUGAGAACAUGAGAGAUCAGAAAAAAAAGUCUGGUGCUUAGGCCUUUCUACUGGGCAUUUUUGCACGGAGUUGAUAAUAUGAGAGAUUGAAACAACUGAACCGAGAGGAUAUGUUUUCUAUAAGAUGAGCUGAAAUGUGGAAUGUCUUAUGUAUGAUGUGAGUCAUCAGUGAAGUAUGAGGCAGGCAAUAAUCGCCUUGAAAUGGUCCCACAGCUCUUUGAUCACUGCCUGUCAUCUGGUACAGACUUCAUUGCCAUUUGUAGUUGCAUUAGGAAAAACAGCAUUUUGAACCUCUACUCACUAAGAAAUCAUUAGCUACUUUGUGUCUUUUUUAUUCUUACGUCCCCCCCCCCCUCCCAACCCUUGUAAAUAUUACUAGGCAUUUUUACUAAACAUCAUUGCAUAUACACUUUUUUACUUCAACAAAUUCUUGUUUUAAAAAUGAAACGCUAGGGACAUAUUAAUCUUGAAGGGGCUCUUCCCCUACCUUGGCCCAACAGAAUGAAGAUUGCUCUGGGUGCUGCAAAAGGCCUAGCCUUCCUCCAUGAAGGUGCUGAACCAGUUUUUUAUAUGGAUUUUAAGACAUCAAAUAUUCUUCUUGAAGCGGUACUUUAUCUAUUAAAUCUGUUUCACAUCAUGCUUAUAUAAUUCUGCUACAUUGUUAACUGUGGUGAUUUUGCUCUACAGUAGUGCAAUGUGAAACUAUCUGAUUUCGGUUUAGCAAAAGCUGGUCCAUAGGAUGAUAAGACUCAUGUCUCUAUUCGAGUUGUUGGCACUUAUGGUUAUGCUGCACUAGAGUAUGUAAUGACAGGUAGAACAAGCUCAGAGAAACAGUGUAAAGUACCAAUCUUUGUUUUCAUAUAAUUUUGCCGAUCAAUAACAGUAGGAGAAUUAAAAUAGUUUUGCCUUGUAUUUUGUUCCCCUGAGGUAAGUGACAUGGGUCGUAUGAUGCAAAUGGUGGACUUGAUGACUUUUGUGGGCAUAUCCAAAUUGGCUUCAGGUUUUGGGGAAGAAAUUUCUGCUCACUGCAGCCUGCAGCUUGCGUCCCCUUUUUUUGGCUGGUUGACUGUUCAUGUAUGCACACCUUGUUUUUUUGUUAUCCCAGUUAUACUCUUACUUGAUUUUGGUAAGAUCUAUGUUUUUCACAUCCAUUUUCCCAUUAGAAUGAUAAAUGUUCCAUGCGUUUAAAAGGGAGUAUAAAUUAGUACACUGAUACUUUUUUGUGAAGUUUGUCAUGUUUUACUUGACUGCAUCUUUACCCAGUCCGAAUUCAGCUUAGCACCAGUACUUGUUGGAUUCUUAAGCCCCGUAAUUGCCUACUAUAUCCAGCGUAGUUAAUCAUAAUAUACUUUUCUUUUCUUUUAUUUAUAGAAACCAUUCUUUUCGAACUUUGGUGCCAUCAUAACAUUCCCAUCCUUGGAACCUUCAUUGCCUCAGUAGUUACAUGUCUUCUUGUGUAAGAACCGUUUCUAUUGCCUUUAUACAUACUCCCUUCUAUUCCCUCCAUCUAUAAGUGAAAGUAAUCUAAUUUACACUUCUUUUUGCAGCUACCUUGGUGGGUUAUUAUACAUUAUCUACAUGCUCCCAUUGGCCGAGUGUAUGAUGUUUUCCACUCUUGUGUCAACAAUUGAUCCUGAACUUGGCAUUGAUAAAAAUCUCUUUGCACUGGUUUUUGGAGAAUCAGUUUUAAAUGAUGUUGUAUGCAGAGACUUUUCUUUACUUAAUAUCCUUUGGCUGAAAUUAAUAAAUUAGUGCUGCUCAUGCUUACAUAACUCUUUUGCCCUUUUAUGGUCUGUUAAUUAAGGUGGCUAUGUCCUUGUACAGGUGCGGAUAUAAUUUCUUCGAUAAAUUUGCCUUGUGCGCUCUUUUAAAACUUCUAAUAAUCCUAUUUUAAAUAGCUUUAGCUUUCAGGACUAUGGCAUCUAUGAGGACACACCCUUCUAGAUAAAACUUUUUCCUUGUAAUUCUAAGGUUUCUUGAGAAUUCUGUCAAACCUCUUCAAGUAUGCAGCACUGGGCGUUAAGAAGUAAAAGGUGUCACAUGCAAAUUAUUUGAAACCAGAGCUCAUCACUUAAACAACUAAACUUUAUAUCAUUUUCAGCCUUCAUAAUCCGGAGAGUUGAGGCGACACGGCCAAUGCGGCACUGAGGCGACACUACCAGGGUGGUGCUGAGGCAGCAACAGAGGCCGGGUGAACAGGACGAGGCCAUCAAGGGGGGAGGAGAGGUGGCCGGAGCGGGCGCCGCCGACCUGGUGCGAGGCUGCGGCGGUGACGGCGAGGACGGCGGGGUUCGUGUCGACGAGGAGCGAGAGCGCGAUGAGCGCCUCUGUCUCCGUCUCCCCAGCAAUAAGUGCGAUGGGGAACCCAAGCUCUUGUGUACUACAUCCUUCGCGACACACAUCUUGCUAAUAAUCUAGGUGCAUAAAUGAUACGUUACAAGAUAUAUAUUAACCAUUAAGAGUUUGAUUUUCUUGGUAGUUGAUAGUUGGUUCAUAAAAAUCUCCUGCCAGUCUAACUUAUAUUAUUGUAGUGUGUUUGAACCGCCAAGACAGUUAGCAUUAUAUCAUAUUGUAUAAUUAUCUGUUAAUUGUC